rnacentral:rRNA from 1 species
UACGUAGGGGGCAAGCGUUGUCCGGAUUUAUUGGGCGUAAAGAGCGUGUAGGCGGCUAGGUAGGUCCGUUGUGGAAACUCGAGGCUCAACCUCGAGACGUCGAUGGAAACCAUCUAGCUAGAGUCCGGAAGAGGAGAGUGGAAUUCCUGGUGUAGCGGUGAAAUGCGCAGAUAUCAGGAAGAACACCGGUGGCGAAGGCGGCCUGCUGGGCAGUUGCUGACACUGAGGCGCGACAGCGUGGGGAGCAAACAGG